GGUAUAAACCUAAGAAAAAUGGUUUAGGUUAGAUGGCUGGGUGCAGCGGCUCAUGCCUGUAAUCCCAGUACUUUGGGAGGCUGAGGUGGGAGGAUGACCUGAUGCCAGGAGUUUGAGACCAGACUAGGCAAUAUAGGGAGACCCCUCUCCCCGCACCAAUUUCCAAAAAAAAAAAAAGCAAAGGUUUAAGUUAGAGAAAUCCAGACUUGAAAGUCACCAUCAGCACAGAAGAAUGGUGGAAACAGUGGUAGAAAUUCUGAUGAGAAAUCACCCACAGAAAGGAAGCUGAGUGAGAGGAAAACCAGGACAUUACACCUAUAUGUAAGCAGAGCUCAAAGAAGCCUCUAGAUGAAAAGCUGGAGAAGGCCCAACCCAAGAGGAGACAAGGACUUCAAGGGUGAAUCCUUUCAGAGAAAUACACAUUGCAACAGCAGUUUCUUGAAGUGGUUGGUGCUCUAAACCAAGAACAAAAAUGUUAAUAUAAGGCCUUUAAGUGGAGUCUUACCAAAGCAGGAGAGGUGCUGGCCAGGCUCAUCUCUUCUCUCCCACCCAACUGC
rnacentral:antisense_RNA from 1 species